rnacentral:rRNA from 1 species
CUGGCCCUAAACUAUGUCCACUAGGUCGAAGACACUCUGACGUGCUUUCGGCCGCAAUGAAAACGUUAAGUGGACCGCCUGGGGAGUACGGUCGCAAGGCUAAAACUCAAAGGAAUUGACGGGGGCUCACACAAGCGGUGGAGCAUGUUGUUCAAUUCGAUGCAACGCGAAGAACCUUAUCCUGGGCUUGACAUGCUUGGAUGCCUACCUGGAAACAGAUUAGGCUGCCCUUCGGGGUGAAACUUGCACAGGUGC